UCACCCCUAAAGUGGUUGCAGGUAUGAGUGCUCUGUCAAAUGUGCAUCCAUAGGUUGGAGAGAAGAGAGAGGCUAUGUCUACCCUCAGUACUCUGACCUGUAAAUACAUAAAUGAAUAGUAGCCUAAUAUU